rnacentral:rRNA from 1 species
UUCUAGCUUGCUAGAAGUGGAUUAGUGGCGCACGGGUGAGUAAUGUAUAGCUAACCUGCCCCUCAGAAGAGAACAACAGUUAGAAAUGACUGCUAAUACUCUAUACUCCUUCUUAACAUAAGUUAAGUCGGGAAAUGUCUUUUCGCUGAGGGAUGGGGCUAUAUUGUAUCAGUUUGUUGGUGGGGUAAUGGCCUACCAAGACUAUGACGCAUAACUGGUCUGAGAGGAUGAUCAGUCACACUGGAACUGAGACACGGUCCAGACUCCUACGGGAGGCAGCAGUAAGGAAUAUUGCGCAAUGGGCGAAAGCCUGACGCAGCAACGCCGCGUGGAGGAUGACACUUUUCGGAGCGUAAACUCCUUUUGUUAGGGAAGAAUAAUGACGGUACCUAACGAAUAAGCACCGGCUAACUCCGUGCCAGCAGCCGCGGUAAUACGGAGGGUGCAAGCGUUACUCGGAAUCACUGGGCGUAAAGGGCGCGUAGGCGGAUUAUCAAGUCUCUUGUGAAAUCUGGUGGCUUAACCAUCAAACUGCUUGGGAAACUGAUAGUCUAGAGUGAGGGAGAGGUAGAUGGAAUUCUUGGUGUAGGGGUAAAAUCCGUAGAGAUCAAGAGGAAUACCUAUUGCGAAAGCGAUCUACUAGAACUCAACUGACGCUGAGGCGCGAAAGCGUGGGUAGCAAACAGGAUUAGAUACCCUGGUAGUCCACGCCCUAAACGAUGUAUACUAGUUGUUGCUGUGCUAGACACGGCAGUAAUGCACCUAACGGAUUAAGUAUACCGCCUGGGGAGUACGGUCGCAAGAUUAAAACUCAAAGGAAUAGACGGGGACCCGCACAAGCGGUGGAGCAUGUGGUUUAAUUCGAAGAUACGCGAAGAACCUUACCUGGGCUUGACUUCCAACAAAUCUUUUAGAGAUAGAAGAGUGCUUGUUUACAAGAAUGUUGUGACAGGUGCUGCACGGCUGUCGUCAGCUCGUGUCGUGAGAUGUUGGGUUAAGUCCCGCAACGAGCGCAACCCACGUGUUUAGUUGCUAACAGUUAGGCUGAGCACUCUAAACAGACUGCCUUCGUAAGGAGGAGGAAGGUGUGGACGACGUCAAGUCAUCAUGGCCCUUAUGCCCAGGGCGACACACGUGCUACAAUGACAUAUACAAUGAGAAGCAAUAUCGCGAGGUGGAGCAAAUCUAUAAAAUAUGUCCCAGUUCGGAUU